AGUGAACGCUGGCGGUAGGCCUAACACAUGCAAGUCGAACGGCAGCACAGUAAGAGCUUGCUCUUACGGGUGGCGAGUGGCGGACGGGUGAGGAAUACAUCGGAGUCUACUUUUUCGUGGGGGAUAACGUAGGGAAACUUACGCUAAUAACGCAUACGACCUACGGGUGAAAGCAGGGGAUCUUCGGACCUUGCGCGAUUGAAUGAGCCGAUGUCGGAUUAGCUAGUUGGCGGGGUAAAGGCCCACCAAGGCGACGAUCCGUAGCUGGUCUGAGAGGAUGAUCAGCCACACUGGAACUGAGACACGGUCCAGACUCCUACGGGAGGCAGCAGUGGGGAAUAUUGGACAAUGGGCGCAAGCCUGAUCCAGCCAUACCGCGUGGGUGAAGAAGGCCUUCGGGUUGUAAAGCCCUUUUGUUGGGAAAGAAAAGCAGCAGGUUAAUACCCCGCUGUUCUGACGGUACCCAAAGAAUAAGCACCGGCUAACUUCGUG
rnacentral:rRNA from 1 species